AGUGUGAGAAGAAUGAAGUCACUAGCAUGGCUUAGAGGUGAUCAUUAGGGAGGUGGUGGCCUUGAGGAACAGACCAGGAUAUGAGAAGAAUGAAGUCACCAGAAUGGCUUAGUGGUAUCCAUAAGGGAGGGUGGUGAGCUUCAGGACCCGGCCCGUUAAGGAGAAUGAAGGCUCACCAUACAGAGCCCAGGAUGAUAGGAUGGCAAUAGUGGGCAAGAUUGGGUUUUUAAAGACCUCACAUCAAACCCAGCUUCUCAUACUUGGGGUUGCCCCUGUUCUUCACUUGCUUUUACUCUAUACACUCUUGUUCUGGUUCAUUUGGAUUGUGGAACAAGCGGAAUCCCCUGCCAGCUCCUUCCCCACCACCUGUGUUCGACCCUCUGAGCCUGGCACAGCCCCGCCCACAAGGUACACCCUCCAGACCAGUGCCCUUGCCUGCCCAGAAGUUCCCGCUGCCACUGGAGGCUUAUUGCUCUAGGUGUGUGUGUGGGGAGGGGUCCUGGGACCUUCCUUCCACCUUUCCCUUAAAGCUGAGUGUUCUUGGAUUUGUAGAAAUUUUAGGCUUCUGGGAGAGGUUAUAAUAUUGUAAUGGCUAAAAUUGUGGCUACAGGAUUUAUGUAAUAUUGAACAAUGGCCGCCAAGGAAUUUACUUAUGAAAUUCCUAAAAUGAAACACUCAAGUCAGAAUGGAGUUUAUGGGGGUUUAAUCACACUGGAAGUAGAGAAAGGAGAGGGAGAGAAGGAGAGAAGAGAAAAGGGAAAGGGGCUACUCAACCUCUGACCAAGGCAGAGGGAGAUUUAGGCCCAAAGGCCCAGGUGGAAAGAAUCAGUCCUUAACUCACAUGACGGAUCUGAAGGAAAGCUGUCUGCGGGCAUCCUCCCUCUCCAAGCUCCUAACACCCCUAACUCCCCUAGCUCUCUCCACAGGAAGUGCGCGAAUCCUAGAGGCUGUUCCCUACCUCACUUCCUGUGUCUCACAAAUCCAAUGGUUGGCUCUAGCUUGGCUUAGGACAGCCCAGGUGGGCAGUUAGUUAUUUCUGAUUUGUCAUUGACUAGCGCAUGCCCGUGUAGUGUGGGUGUGCACAAUUUUUGGGUGCUAGACCAAGAUGGAGAUUCCAGCUUUUGGUAUGUACCUUGUCUUGUUGUUACGUUUGAUUUUCAGUCUCCUAGGAGCAGUCAGUUUGUGAUUGGUAAGGAAGGGUUUUCAGAGGUCUGAACUUCUCCCAAUACUAUUUUUAAAGAAUGAAUUUAUUCCAUGACCUUUUCAUCUUACUUUUCCACUUUAUAUCUUCUUCUACUUUUCAUGUAUCUCUUUUCUUUAUUGAUUUUUUUGCCUCUUUCCAGUUGACCAAUUUUAUUUUUUUAAGCUAUUGUUUUCUUUUUGCAUUACUUUCAUCCUUUUUUGCAUUUUUCUUUGAUCUGUCUUAUUUGAUUUUUUAAUUCCUUUUUGAGUUCUUCCAGCACUUGAUACCAGUUUCC
rnacentral:lncRNA from 1 species